rnacentral:rRNA from 1 species
CACGUAGGGCGCAAGCGUUGUCCGGAAUUAUUGGGCGUAAAGAGCUCGUAGGCGGUCUGUUGCGUCCGCUGUGAAAACUCGGGGCUUAACCCCGAGCCUGCAGUGGAUACGGGCAGACUAGAGGUAGGUAGGGGAGAAUGGAAUUCCCGGUGUAGCGGUGAAAUGCGCAGAUAUCGGGAGGAACACCGGUGGCGAAGGCGGUCUGCUGGGCCGUUGCUGACGCUGAUGCGCGACAGCGUGGGGAGCAAACAGG